GGGAGAGUGAAGCGAGUGAGAUUAAUGACAAUUUCAAGCAACAUUUUGAAGAGGGAUUUGAGGUAUUUUCCAUGAAAAAUGAACUCAAAUUCUUCUUGAUGUUUCAUUUUCCUAUAAGUAAGAUCAGUUUAAUUGUUGUGUUUGUAAAGAGUUUUUUGAGCAUGCAACUCAAAAACUCUUAUUGUUUAUGAUAUGGUUAUAUCUUGUUAGUGUGCUCACCAGAUACCCUAUUGCAUCUCGUUUUUGUAUCAAGUAGGGGGUGAUUAACACUUCGAACAAAGCCAGCUCCUUUCGUGUUUCCAGAUCCUGAUCUUUGUUGCCCCAUUAUAUAACCUCCUAAUCCAGAUUCCGACUCCUACUGGAGUCCGACUGGUACUAAGAGUGUUUUAGUUUUCCUGAUAUAACCUCCGAAUCCAGAUUCCUACUCCAACAGGAAUCCGAUUGGCACUAGGAGUGUUUCAUUUUUCUAGAUAUAAGCUUCAAAUCCAGAUUCCGACUCUAUUGGAGUCCGACUGGUACUAGGACGUUCUGAUGCAAUCCAAGCUUUAUCUCGGUCUAGGGGAGGUGCUGCUGAAUUUUUCCUAGGAUGAGAGUUAGUACUAGGCUUAUCAAGUAUAAGUUCCACUUAUGAGAGGGUAGUCAGAUCUAUCGAUCGUAAGUUCAAGCUAUCAAUCGUGAGUUCAAGAUAUCGAUCGUGAGUUCAAGCUAUCAACCGUGAGUUCAAGCUAUCGAUCGUGGGUUCAAGCUAUCGACUGUGAGUUUAAGCUAUCAGUCAUGAGUUCAAGCUAUCAGUUGUGAGUUGAAGCUAUCGACUGUGAGUUCAAGCUAUUGAAUGUGCGUUCCAGCUAUCGACAGUCUGUUAAGUUUUCCAUCGUGCAACA
rnacentral:lncRNA from 1 species